UACGUAGGGUGCGAGCGUUGUUCGGAAUUACUGGGCGUAAAGCGCACGUAGGCGGCUUUGUAAGUUAGAGGUGAAAGCCCAGAGCUCAACUCUGGAACUGCCUUUAAGACUGCAUCGCUUGAAUCAUGGAGAGGUUAGUGGAAUUCCGAGUGUAGAGGUGAAAUUCGUAGAUAUUGGGAAGAACACCGAUGGCGAAGGCAGCCAUCUGGACCGACACUGACGCUGAGGCGCGAAAAGCGUGGGGGAGCAAACAGG
rnacentral:rRNA from 1 species